rnacentral:rRNA from 1 species
GAUGAACGCUGGCGGCGUGCCUAAUACAUGCAAGUCGAGCGAAUGGAUUAAGAGCUUGCUCUUAUGAAGUUAGCGGCGGACGGGUGAGUAAUACGUGGGUAACCUGCCCAUAAGACCAGGAUAACUCCGGGAAACCGGGGCCAAUACCGGAUAAUAUUUUGAACUGCAUGGUUCAAAAUUGAAAGGCGGCUUCGGCUGUCACUUAUGGAUGGACUCGCGUCGCAUUAGCUAGUUGGUGAGGUAACGGCUCACCAAGGCAACGAUGCGUAGCCGACCUGAGAGGGUGAUCGGCCACACUGGGACUGAGACACGGCCCAGACUCCUACGGGAGGCAGCAGUAGGGAAUCUUCCGCAAUGGACGAAAGUCUGACGGAGCAACGCCGCGUGAGUGAUGAAGGCUUUCGGGUCGUAAAACUCUGUUGUUAGGGAAGAACAAGUGCUAGUUGAAUAAGCUGGCACCUUGACGGUACCUAACCAGAAAGCCACGGCAAACUACGUGCCAGCCGCCGCCGUAA